rnacentral:rRNA from 1 species
UACGUAGGCAGCAAGCGUUGUUCGGAAUUACUGGGCGUAAAGAGUGUGUAGGCGGUGCCGUAAGUUUGGCGUGAAAUCUCCCGGCUUAACUGGGAGGGUGCGCCGAAGACUGCGGUGCUUGAGGGUUGGAGAGGAAAGUGGAAUUUCUGGUGUAGCGGUGAAAUGCGUAGAUACCUGGAGGAACACCGGUGGCGAAGGCGGCAUCCUGGACCAAUAUUGACGCUGAGGAGCGAAAGCCAGGGGAGCAAACGGG